rnacentral:sRNA from 1 species
AUCAACUUUCGAUGGUAGGAUAGAGGCCUACCAUGGUGGUAACGGGUAACGGGGUGUUAGGGCACGACACCGGAGAGGGAGCCUGAGAAACGGCUACCACAUCCAAGGAUGGCAGCAGGCGCGCAAAUUACCCAAUCCCGACACGGGGAGGUAGUGACAAUAAAUAACAAUACGGGGUUCUUUCGGAUCUCGUAAUUGGAAUGAGUACAAUUUAAAUCUCUUAACGAGGAACAAUUGGAGGGCAAGUCUGGUGCCAGCAGCCGCGGUAAUUCCAGCUCCAAUAGCGUAUAUUAAAGUUGUUGCAGUUAAAAAGCUCGUAGUUGAAUUUCGGGGUCAGCAGGUUGGUCGUGCCACUGGUAUGUACUGGCUUUGCUGAUUCCUCCUUCUUGUAGAACCGUAAUGCCAUUAAUUUGGUGUUGCGGGGAAACAGGACUGUUACUUUGAAAAAAUUAGAGUGUUUAAAGCAGGCUAACGCUUGAAUACAUUAGCAUGGAAUAAUGAAAUAGGACGAGCGAUCCUAUUUUGUUGGUUUCUAGGAUUGACGUAAUGAUUAAUAGGGAUAGUUGGGGGCAUUAGUAUUCAAUUGUCAGAGGUGAAAUUCUUGGAUUUAUUGAAGACUAACUACUGCGAAAGCAUUUGCCAAGGAUGUUUUCAUUAAUCAAGAACGAAAGUUAGGGGAUCGAAGACGAUCAGAUACCGUCGUAGUCUUAACCAUAAACUAUGCCGACUAGGGAU